rnacentral:rRNA from 1 species
CUACGGGGGGCUGCAGUAGGGAAUAUUGGACAAUGGGCGAAAGCCUGAUCCAGCAACACCGCGUGCACGAUGACGGCCUUCGGGUUGUAAAGUGCUUUUAGAGGAGAUGAGAAAGGACAGUAUCCUCUGAAUAAGCCUCGGCGAACUACGUGCCAGCAGCCGCGGUAAAACGUAGGAGGCAAGCGUUAUCCGGAUUUAUUGGGCGUAAAGCGCGUGCAGGCGGUCUAGCAAGUUGGAUGUGAAAGCUCCCGGCUCAACUGGGAGAGGUCGUUCAAUACUGUUAGACUAGAGAAUAGGAGAGGGAGGUGGAAUUCCGGGUGUAGUGGUGAAAUGCGUAGAUAUCCGGAGGAACACCAGUGGCGAAAGCGGCCUCCUGGACUAUUUCUGACGCUAAGACGCGAAAGCUAGGGUAGCAAACGGGAUUAGAUACCCCCGUAGUC